GAUGAACGCUGGCGGCGUGCCUAAUACAUGCAAGUCGAGCGAACAGACGAGGAGCUUGCUCCUCUGACGUUAGCGGCGGACGGGUGAGUAACACGUGGAUAACCUACCUAUAAGACUGGGAUAACUUCGGGAAACCGGAGCUAAUACCGGAUAAUAUAUUGAACCGCAUGGUUCAAUAGUGAAAGACGGUUUUGCUGUCACUUAUAGAUGGAUCCGCGCCGCAUUAGCUAGCUGGUAAGGUAACGGCUUACCAAGGCAACGAUGCGUAGCCGACCUGAGAGGGUGAUCGGCCAAACAGGAAAUGAGAAACGGGCCAGACUCCUACGGGAGGCAGGAGUAGGGAAUUCUCCGCAAUGGGCGAAAGGCUGAAGGAGCAACGCCGGGGGAGGGAAGAAGGUCUUCGGAACGGAAAACUCUGGUAUUAGGGAAAAACAAAUGUGUAAGUAACUAUGCACGUCUUGACGGUACCUAAUCAGAAAGCCAAGGCUAACUAAG
rnacentral:rRNA from 1 species